rnacentral:rRNA from 1 species
AUUGAACGCUGGCAGCAGGCCUAACACAUGCAAGUCGAGCGGCAGCGGGAAGUAGCUUGCUACUUUGCCGGCGAGCGGCGGACGGGUGAGUAAUGCCUGGGGAUCUGCCCAAUCGAGGGGGAUAACUACUGGAAACGGUAGCUAAUACCGCAUACGCCCUACGGGGGAAAGCAGGGGACCUUUUGGCCUUGCGCGAUUGGAUGAACCCAGGUGGGAUUAGCUUGUUGGUGAGGUAACGGCUCACCAAGGCGACGAUCCCUAGCUGGUCUGAGAGGAUGAUCAGCCACACUGGAACUGAGACACGGUCCAGACUCCUACGGGAGGCAGCAGUGGGGAAUAUUGCACAAUGGGGGAAACCCUGAUGCAGCCAUGCCGCGUGUGUGAAGAAGGCCUUCGGGUUGUAAAGCACUUUCAGCGAGGAGGAAGGGGAGUGAGCUAAUACCUUACUUCAUUGACGUUACUCGCAGAAGAAGCACCGGCUAACUCCGUGCCAGCAGCCGCGGUAA